CCUACGGGUGGCACCAGUGGGGAAUAUUGCACAAUGGGCGCAAGCCUGAUGCAACCAUGCCGCGUGUAUGAAGAAGGCCUUCGGGUUGUAAGGUACUUUCAGCGGGGAGGAAGGCGAUAAGGUUAAUAACCUUGUCGAUUGACGUUACCCGCAGAAGAAGCACCGGCUAACUCCGUGCCAGCAGCCGCGGUAAUACGGAGGGUGCAAGCGUUAAUCGGAAUUACUGGGCGUAAAGCGCACGCAGGCGGUCUGUCAAGUCGGAUGUGAAAUCCCCGGGCUCAACCUGGGAACUGCAUUCGAAGCUGGCAGGCUAGAGUCUUGUAGAGGGGGGGUAGAAUUCCAGGUGUAGCGGUGAAAUGCGUAGAGAUCUGGAGGAAUGCCGGUGGCGAAGGCGGCCCCCUGGACAAAGACUGACGCUCAGGUGCGAAAGCGUGGGGAGCAAACAGGAUUAGAUACCCGCGUAGUC
rnacentral:rRNA from 1 species